GGGCGAUUAGGUUGCGGCCAAGCUGGGCAGCGGGCGGAAUUAAGUCCCUACCAUCUGCCGAGGAAUAGCGCGGAAGCAAGUCCGGGGCUGUGGGGAGGGGGCGGGAUGUACACAAGAGAAGCCAAAGGGGAAACUGAGGCGAGCGCCGCUUGCCUCGCUCCCGCCGACCGCGAAGCGAGGGACGGGCCUGGCCAGGCCCCAGGCCCUCCGGGAGCAGCGCAGCACCUCGAGGCCCAGAGCACUGGCGGGGGAGGGAGCGGGGGAGGGGCGGCCCCGCGCGGCUCCCGGCCCCCGGCCCCCAGUGUCCCAGCUCGGACGCGCCCCGGCCCCGGCCCUGGCCCUUGCCCGCCGUGCGCGGCGCCGCCUCCUCCACGCGGACCCCGGAGGCUCCCCCGGGAGCCGGGAGGGUGCAAGGCGUGCGGUGGGCCUGGGACGCGAGAGGAGUCCUGGGGGGGCCGGGCGCUGACCUGCGCCCCGGGAUGCAGGCUCCGCUCUUGGCUCGGCCCGGCCCGACCCGGCCCGGCUCCCCCGCCCCCAUCCCCGGUCACGGACACCAUUUUAGGUCGCGACAUCCCGCAGCCUCCACUCCGCAGGCCGCGCUACGGCUGCCUCUCGGGCCGGGGGCGCCAGGACUCGGGGUCCCCGACCCUCCCUCCGCCUUUACCCGGCCAGGAGCUGUGCUUUGGCCAGGCCGGGAGUUUGGCCCAUCCGCCCGGGGACGGAGGAGGCGUCGGGCCUUCUGCAGGGCCGCCCCAGGGGGCGGCACGGACGAGAAGUGCGGGCCGAGACGCAGCCGUCUCUACCCAGCUCCAGCAGCAGCCGCCGCCGCCCUCCCCGGGGCCGCCGCUACUUCCUGCUUCUCUACGGUUCGGCCUCCCUCCUCCCUCCUCCCUGCGCUCCCUCCGCGCCCCUGGCCUGAGCUGCCCGCUUCCAUACUCGCCAUUGGUCAGUUCCCCCGUCGUUCAGGUAUGCGCCCCGCCCCACCUCGCGCUGGGUUGGUCUUAAGUACUGUCGCUCGGAACUAGCCCCGUGGAUUCCGCUCAUCCUCAUUGGGCGAGGAGCCUAGGCCCCCUGAAGAAGCCUCUCCCCAUUGGCCGCUCCGAAGUCCACAUGCCCCGUCUGCGCCUCUCAAGAGCGAUUGGCCGCCGCUACUGUCGCUCUUCGAAAGAAGCCAGCCUGAUUCCCCCUUCUCGGGCCGCAGGGUAACUCUCCCAGGUGUGACUCCGCCCCCUCCGCCCUAUUGGCUGCCCGAGGCUGCAGGCUGCAGUUCACUUAGGCAAAUUUAAAGAACUCUGAGCUUCGGUGCGGUGGGUGCUUGGAGGAGAACCGCGCCGACUGCGAGGGAACAUAGAACUCUGGAUCUGGCCGCGCUGUUUUCUCGGAGACCGAGCCCCACGUCAGCGUGGCCGCACAGAUGUCGCAGCGUGGGCCGACGCUCCAGGCAUGACGUCAUCUGCUGACCACUGCCCACCGCCUCUGACGUGUGGCCGGGCGUCACCUGCGGCUCCUCCCUCUGUGGGGAGCUCGGACUGGUACAGGAUUUGGGACAUGGACGGGCCUGGGGCCCGGGGCUGGGCCUGGCUUGCGGACCGGAAGUGGGGCAGAGGUGACUCCGGGAGAGCCGGCGGGGCUGGGCAGCCGGGCCCGACCGCAGGUGUCAGGUAUUUCAGUAAGACAGUGGUGCACCCCUGUAAACUCAGCACUGGGAAUGCAAAGGCAGGAGGAUCGAAGGUUGGAGGGAGAAGGCAGAACCAGAGAGAGAGGAAAAAGCAGCUCUUGCGAAGGGUUUGGGCAGAGGGAAGAAAGCCGAGUGGGUGCAGCACAGGGGACUAAAGCUGUUCUGUACUUAUGCAUUUGUUGAAAGCCACACAAUAUGCAACACAGUGAAGCUGGUGUCAGCGCUGGUCUCUGGCUAAUAAUAAUGUAUCAGUUUGGGUUCAGACUGAAACCUGCCACCAGGGAGGUCGAGAGGAGGGGAAUCUGUGGGAACUGUGUGUACUUUUUAUUCUCAAUUUUUUAGUAAACCUAAAAUGGCUCUAAGAAAUAAAGUGUAAUAAUUUUUUUUAAAAAAUGUAAAGCAGGGAAGAAAGCAGGGAGUCUGGGAGGGUUGUAGUUGUGGAUAGGGUGGACAAGUGAAGGCCUGGGUGACGAGGUGGCUGAAGCCCAGGGAGUGAGGGUGCAAACCCCGCAGCCCCGGAAGAAAGAACGGGACGGGGCUCCUUGGUGGAAGGAGUGAGUCGGGACUGCAAGAAUUGGGCUCCUGGAGGC
rnacentral:lncRNA from 1 species